UACAGAGGGGGCAAGCGUUGUUCGGAAUUACUGGGCGUAAAGGGCGCGUAGGCGGCCUGUUAAGUCGAACGUGAAAUCCCCGGGCUCAACCCGGGAACUGCGUCCGAUACUGGCAGGCUUGAAUCCGGGAGAGGGAUGCGGAAUUCCAGGUGUAGCGGUGAAAUGCGUAGAUAUCAGGAGGAAUACCGGUGGCGAAAGCGACUCUCUGGACGGCAACUGACGCUGAGGCACGAAAGCGUGGGGAGCAAACAGG
rnacentral:rRNA from 1 species